GACGAACGCUGGCGGCGUGCUUAACACAUGCAAGUCGAACGGACAGACCCUGCUCUUGUGGGGUGCUUGUGUGGCGAACGGGUGAGUGACACGCGAGUAACCUGCCCUUGACUUUGGGAUAACUUCAGGAAACUGGGGCUCAUACCGGAUAGGAGCUCCUGCUGCACGGUGGGGGAAGGAAAGUUACGGCGGUUGGGGCUCGACUCGCGGCGUACCAGCUAGUUGGUGAGGUAGUGGCUUACCAAGCCUACGACGGAUAGCCGGCCUGAGAGAGUGAUCGGCCACACUGGAACUGAGACACGGUCCAGACUCCUACGGGAGGCAGCAGUAGGGAAUCUUCCGCAAUGGGCGAAAGCCUGACGGAGCAACGCCGCGUGAGUGAUGAAGGUCUUCGGAUCGUAAAACUCUGGUAUUAGGGAAGAACAUAUGUGUAAGUAACUGUGCACAUCUUGACGGUACCUAAUCAGAAAGCCACGGCUAACUACGUG
rnacentral:rRNA from 1 species